GCAGACACAUUCCAGCCAAUCAGCAGCAGACCCUCCCUCCCUCCCUCCCAGACCCUCCCACCUCCUGGACAGCUCACUAAGAAUGCAGCUUCAAAAUGGAUGCUGUCCAGGAGGUGGGAGGGUCUGGGAGGGAGGGUCUGCUGCUGAUUGGCUGGAAUGUGUCUG
rnacentral:miRNA from 1 species